AAAACAUCUUUUCUUGUUUAUUUAUUUGAGAUCUGACCUGCCCAAUGAUAUUUUAAUGGCCGCGGUAUUUUGACCGUGCAAAGGUAGCAUAAUAAUUAGUUUAUUAAUUGUGGACUUGUAUGAAUGGUUGGACGAGAUAUUGACUGUCUCAUAAUUAUUAAUUGAAUUUGAUUUUUUAGUUAAAAAGCUUAAAUUUUAUUGUAAGACGAGAAGACCCUAUAGAUCUUUAUUUGUUAAUUUUUCUUAUUUUUUAGCUUAUUUAUUUAAGUAUUUUUUAUAUUUUUUGUUGGGGUGACAUGGAGAUAAAAUUAACUCUUUAUUUAUUAUACAUUUAUUUUUGAAUUAUUGACCUUAUAUUAUUGUUUUAAGAUGUAGAUACCUUAGGGAUAACAGCGUAAUUUUUUUUGAGAGUUCUUAUCGACAAAGGAGAUUGCGACCUCGAUGUUGGAUUAAGAAUAAGUUAAGGUGUAGGUGCUUUGAUAUUAGGUCUGUUCGACCUUUAAAUUCUUACA
rnacentral:rRNA from 1 species